CAUCACUCCAGUGACCUCCUGGAGGAAUAUGCGCAUCCUUUCUCUGCAACUUUGGCUUCUGUGGCUCUGGAAGUCCUAGUUUCCAAAGGGACAAUGCUUCCACCAGGAGGAGGUAUGGUAGUUUCAGUAAACAAAGCUAUGGCUGCUGCCCGGUCACUAGGCUCCUCAUGCCCGGUCACUAGGCUCCUCAUGCCAAGAGACCAGCACACAAGGAAGGGAGUGACCACACAGGCUGACGUAAUUGACCCUGAUCAUAAGGCGAUAAGGCUGUGUAAUGCUGUGAGGGCAGAGAAGAAUUUCAAAUUCAUGUAAUCCACUGAGAUAUCUCCUGACACUUCCUUUCCUAAUUAUAGAGUUUAUUCUCAAGUGAGGAGCACCUCUGCCCAGCCGCCCCACCAUCUGGGAAGUGUGGAGCGCCUCUGCCUGGAGCCCAGCUGUCUGGAAAGUGAGGAGCUCCUCUGCCCGGUCGCCAACCUGUCUGGGAAGUGAGGAGCGACUCUCCUUGGUCGCCACAAUGUCUGGGAAGUGAGGAGUGUCUCUGCCUGGCCGCUCCAUUGUCUGGGAAGCGAGGAGCGCCUCUGCCUGGCCGCCCCACUGUCUGGGAAGCGAGGAGCGCCUCUGCCUGGCCGCCCCACUGUCUGGGAAGUGAGGAGCGCCUCUGCCUGAUCGCCCCACCAUCGGGGAAGUGAAAAGCCCCUCCCCCUGGCCCGCGCCUCCCGCCAGCCGCAGCACCAUCUGAGAAGUGAGGAGAGCCUUUGCCCGGCUGCUGUGCAACCCUCCAAGUGUGAAGUGGCAGCCCUGUGUGUGAUCUUUCUGCCCUCCCCAAGUUUGCAUUUUCAAUAUUAAAGUUUACUUUUAAAUUAGAAGUUUUAAAUUGCAGAAUUAUAUUUUUAGAAAAGUUUAUUCUCUUGAUUCAUAACUUUGAAAUAUCUAGACGUAUGGUACAUGUCACGCCAUUUCUGCUCUUUCCUGCACCUCCCAAAUGUUUUAGUUGUAGCCAAAGUACACAAAUCUAAGAAGAUCCAAAUGAUCAUCCUCACAUUGACGGGUUCCUAGGCAGAGUAGGACUUUGGAAGACAGAUGGGUUUGUCUACAGCCCACCUAUCCAAUGUGUAAUAAAAAGAAGAACAUAUACUUCAUAACUUGAAAAGGGGUGUUACAAAGGAAAAUGUGGAUUCUAGAAGGGAGAGCAAAAACAAAUCAAGAACCAAUCAUUAUGCAAUUUGACAAGUGCUACGACAGAGGUGUAAGUAGAAUACGUGUUAGCCCAGAGGAGUCAGAGAGUACCUCAGCAGGGAAGUUUCCACAGCGAAAGCUGGAUGAGAAGGGGUUUUUAGAAAGUGGCCAUUUCGACCAGGUGCAGUGGCUCAUGCCUGUAAUCCCAGCCCUUUGGAAGGCCAAGGUGGGUGGAUCCCCUGAAAUCGGGAGUUUGAGACCAG
rnacentral:lncRNA from 10 species